rnacentral:rRNA from 1 species
GCCCAUCCGUAAAAUAUUAAUUCACACCACCAACGCCAGGGUAUUACAAGCCUUAGCUUAAAACCCAAAGGACUUGACGGUGUCCCAUCCACCUAGAGGAGCCUGUUCCAUAAUCGAUAAUCCCCGCUAUACCUAACCACCCCUUGCCAAUCAGUCUGUAUACCUCCGUCGUAAGCUUACCAUAUGAAUGCUUACAGUAAGUUUAAUGGCCACAAGCACCAAUACGUCAGGUCAAGGUGCAGCUUAUGAGAUGGUGGACAAUGGGCUACAGUUUCUAUAAUAGAACAAACGAAACGCUGCAUGAAACACAGCCACGAAGGCGGAUUUAGUAGUAAAAAGAAAAUAGUGUGUUCUUUUUAACUAGGCCCUGGGACGUGUACACACCGCC